CCUUCCCAAUUCUUCUUCGAUCUUUCUUUACUGUCACUUAUUACAGGAGCCUGGAAAGGACUCUGGAAACAUGAAGAAAGAAUGAAGAGGUCCUGUGAUAAAUGGCAGUGAGGAAAUAAGGAAACAAUAGAGCAUUAUGGAUGCAGAAUGAGUCAUGCUGUCAACUUGUAUCAACCCACAUCCAUCAUCUGUCAUUCGUACUCCUGUGUGACUUGUAUAACCCUGCGAGCCGCAGUGGUAGUUGGUUAUAAACAGAGGGAAACCAGCCCCUUCUGCCUGCGAGGGGUGCGGCAUUCCGCAGCGCUGGAGUGGCACGGCCAGCCUCUUCUGGAAACAGGAGGGAUGGCUGAUUCGUUGUCAUUUCUUGCACACCUAUUUGGAUUUCCACUGAUGACUCCAGUUAGUGCUCUCAGUAUGAGAUAUCUUACCUCAGCUUCGAAAGAUAAUAGAAGAAGUCGGAUUUUCUUCUUUCUUGCUGUUAAAUCCCACUGACGUCUUUCACAGCGCUGCGGCUGUCUCACGUUGCCCUAGCAGAUCCUUCUUUUUCACCUCUGUUACAAUGGAAUUCUUUUAAUGAUCAUAAGUGCCCCUGUGUUUGUCUAACUGGUUUCCGAUAAAUAUUAAUUAAAAAUUA